rnacentral:ncRNA from 1 species
UUCAUUGAAACUGUUCGUAUAUCCUCAAUGAUAUGGUUUGAGGGUCUCUACUAGGAGCCGUAAAUUCCUGACUACGAAUGGAG